rnacentral:rRNA from 1 species
CAGCCGCCACGGUAAUACGAAGGGUGCAAGCGUUACUCGGAAUUACUGGGCGUAAAGCGUGUGUAGGUGGUUGUUUAAGUCUGUCGUGAAAGCCCUGGGCUCAACCUGGGAAUUGCGAUGGAUACUGGGCGACUAGAGUGCGGUAGAGGAUAGUGGAAUUUCCGGUGUAGCAGUGAAAUGCGUAGAGAUCGGAAGGAACAUCUGUGGCGAAGGCGACUAUCUGGGCCAACACUGACACUGAGACACGAAAGCGUGGGGAGCAAACAGGAUUAGAGACCCCGGUAGUCCCUGUCUCUUAUAC